rnacentral:rRNA from 1 species
AACGAACGCUGGCGGCGUGCUUAACACAUGCAAGUCGAACGGUAAGGCCCUUCGGGGUACACGAGUGGCGAACGGGUGAGUAACACGUGGGUGAUCUGCCCUGCACUUCGGGAUAAGCCUGGGAAACUGGGUCUAAUACCGGAUAGGACCACUGCCUGCAUGGGUGGUGGUGGAAAGCUUUUGCGGUGUGGGAUGGGCCCGCGGCCUAUCAGCUUGUUGGUGGGGUGAUGGCCUACCAAGGCGACGACGGGUAGCCGGCCUGAGGGGGUGACCGGCCACACUGGGACUGAGAUACGGCCCAGACUCCUACGGGAGGCAGCAGUGGGGAAUAUUGCACAAUGGGCGCAAGCCUGAUGCAGCGACGCCGCGUGAGGGAUGACGGCCUUCGGGUUGUAAACCUCUUUCAGCACCGACGAAGCGCAAGUGACGGUAGGUGCAGAAGAAGGACCGGCCAACUACGUGCCAGCCGCCGCCGUAAUAC